rnacentral:lncRNA from 1 species
ACUUCCAGCCCCCAGCAAGCGCCCGAGAGUGAGCCAUCUGAAUCACACAGCCCUCGGGAAAGCUCAGAGGAAUCCGAGUCAGCUCACCUCUCACAGAGCAGAAGCCUGACCCAGCAGAGCCCAGUCAACCCACAGAAUCACUGGAAAUUGUACAACCGUAUGAGAUUCAAACAAAUCUGCAUUUCUGUAAAUGACAAAGCCAAAAGAGAUAUGGAGCCCUCUUUAACUCUCCAACUCUAUUCAAGAUAAAAGUCUCUUUUUUCUGGGCCAUCUACAAAGAGGGAGAAGGGAUCAUGCUGGAGAAUCUGGAAGGAAUUGGAGAAAGCCCUGGAUUCAAGUUCCAGAAAAUUAGGUGAGUGUCCAUCUGGUGGUGGCAGCAAGGAGGGAAGCAAGAUGGCCUAACCAAAGGGUUAUAUACAUUUUAUAUGCAGCUGCCUGGCUGCCUGAGGAGGGGGAGAAAAGAAGGUCUCCACAACCUGCUUCUUCGGUAUCUCCUUCUAAUUCAUUCAUUUUCUCAAUCCUUGCUACUCUAGCCUUA